UUAUCUAUAACAUCUAUAAAGAGUGGUAUCAACACCAAGAUAAUACAAGAAAAUAAUGUACAUAAUUGGAUUGUACUUCCUUCCUAUGAUUGGCCAAAAAGAAAUAAUUAAGAAUGUGAAUUGUUGAAGAAUUGAGUUCCGUCAAUUCCGCUUCUGAUCGAUUUCGGUGAACUUCACAAAUCAAGAACACACUCAAUUGACCCGGUUCAUGGUGUUAACCAACCGCUACAUCCGGUUAGGAUCUUUCGAUCCCCAACUUAUAUAGAUGAAUCGGAAACCACCUCCGACGGAUUUAUACACGAAGAUCACUCACCACCGAUCACACUCUAAUCGGUUUACAAGGUUAAGAGAAUCCUAAAGAAGAUACUACCUAAUACCCCAAGAAUAUACAACCUCUCUGUGUACUCUCUCUCUCUCUCUAUCUCUCUUGGUCUCUCUCUCUAUCUCUCUUGAAGCUCCAACAAAGAAGACAAUGACGUC
rnacentral:lncRNA from 1 species